rnacentral:rRNA from 1 species
AACUUGAGUGCAGAAGAGGAGAGUGGAAUUCCACGUGUAGCGGUGAAAUGCGUAGAGAUGUGGAGGAACACCAGUGGCGAAGGCGACUCUCUGGUCUGUAACUGACGCUGAGGAGCGAAAGCGUGGGGAGCGAACAGGAUUAGAUACCCUGGUAGUCCACGCCGUAAACGAUGAGUGCUAAGUGUUAGGGGGUUUCCGCCCCUUAGUGCUGCAGCUAACGCAUUAAGCACUCCGCCUGGGGAGUACGGUCGCAAGACUGAAGAUCAAAGGAAUUGACGGGGGCCCGCACAAGCGGUGGAGCAUGUGGUUUAAUUAGAAACAACGCGAAGAACCUUACCAGGUCUUGACAUCCUCUGACAACCCUAGAGAUAGGGCUUUCCCUUCGGGGACAGAGUGACAGGUGGUGCAUGGUUGUCGUCAGCUCGUGUCGUGAGAUGUUGGGUUAAGUCCCGCAACGAGCGCAACCCUUGAUCUUAGUUGCCAGCAUUCAGUUGGGCACUCUAAGGUGACUGCCGGUGACAAACCGGAGGAAGGUGGGGAUGACGUCAAAUCAUCAUGCCCCUUAUGACCUGGGCUACACACGUGCUACAAUGGACAGAACAAAGGGCUGC